UACGAUUCACUUUCAAGAUGCCUUGGUGGUGAAAUGGUAGACACGCGAGACUCAAAAUCUCGUGCUAAAGAGCGUGGAGGUUCGAGUCCUCUUCAAGGCAUAAUAUUGAGAUCUCUUAUUGAAUUGGAAUAAGUUCGGCAGCGGAUCACG